ensembl:lncRNA
CCCUCGCGGUCGACUUGGGAUCUAUCGGCGGUCUACUGGUAGACCGAUCGACUGGUUGGGCACCCCUGCUGUAGAGGAGUCCGGUCUCAACACUCUAUUUGUUACACCCGUCCUGGCCACUUGGGACCGGUAACAAACUGUGGUGGCUCGUCCGGGAUCUCUCCUCUUCACAUACAUCAGAGGGGCAGAUCCAGUGAUACCAGAACCGACAUCGAGAAGACGAACGCGAGACGACGACGUGACUGUAGACGAGGAGUCAACCUGUGGGUGUCCAGAGCGGGAGGAGAAGGAUCUUCACCUUGCCAGGGAGCCGCACAACUGAACCGGGGUCCACGGGGCGUGCGUCAUUGGAGAAGCUACGCCAUAUCCAUACCGACACACACAAACAUACACCGUAGUGACAUUCUAUACCACCGAAGCAAAGCACCAUGGGAACGACACGGAAAGAGCUGGUGUGGAACAUCAAACGAGGUUUGUUCAAACUCUCCAGCAAUGACCUACACACUGUUGCUAGUGGCCUGUCAACAGAAGUUCAUGAAGUCAGCCAAUUGAAAGGAGAUGAAGAAGGCUGCAUAGACUAUGUCAUCACCUACAUGGGGUCUCGGGAGUUGUUAGAGCUUGAGGAUGAAGGGCCUGGGACCAAAGCACACGGAGCGUCGACAGAGAUUGAGACCCCUCAUCUCCAACAGCCGUGUCACAGAUGAGGAAAUCCUCGGCCAGGUGGUGAGAAUGGGGAACUGUUUCGCAAUCGAAAGGGCUACUGCUCGAUUAAUGUCCAGGUUGUGUGCGAUGACCAGGCCAG